AGAGUUUGAUCAUGGCUCAGAACGAACGCUGGCGGCAGGCUUAACACAUGCAAGUCGCAGGAGAAGGAGGCUUCGGUCUCUGGACACUGGCGGACGGGUGAGUAACGCGUGGGGACCUACCCUGGGGUGGGGGACAACCGCUGGAAACGGCGGCUAAUACCGCAUACGCCCUUUGGGGGAAAACUCCGGUGCCCUGGGAUGGCCCCGCGUCGGAUUAGCUUGUUGGUGGGGUAAUGGCCUACCAAGGCGACGAUCCGUAGCUGGUCUGAGAGGAUGACCAGCCACACUGGAACUGAGACACGGUCCAGACUCCUACGGGAGGCAGCAGUGGGGAAUAUUGGACAAUGGGGGCAACCCUGAUCCAGCCAUGCCGCGUGUGUGAAGAAGGCCUUAGGGUUGUAAAACACUUUCAGCGGGGAAGAUGAUGACGGUACCCGCAGAAGAAGCCCCGGCUAACUCCGUGCCAGCAGCCGCGGUAAUACGGAGGGGGCUAGCGUUGUUCGGAAUUACUGGGCGUAAAGGGCGUGUAGGCGGUUUGCCAAGUCAGGCGUGAAAGCCCCGGGCUUAACCUGGGAACUGCGUUUGAGACUGGCAGGCUAGAGGUUGGAAGAGGAGAGUGGAAUUCCCAGUGUAGAGGUGAAAUUCGUAGAUAUUGGGAAGAACACCAGUGGCGAAGGCGGCUCUCUGGUCCACACCUGACGCUGAGGCGCGAAAGCGUGGGGAGCAAACAGGAUUAGAUACCCUAGUAGUCC
rnacentral:rRNA from 1 species